UACGUAGGGUGCGAGCGUUGUCCGGAAUUAUUGGGCGUAAAGGGCUCGUAGGCGGUUUGUCGCGUCGGGAGUGAAAACUCAGGGCUUAAACCCUGAGCCUGCUUCCGAUACGGGCAGACUAGAGGUAUGCAGGGGAGAACGGAAUUCCUGGUGUAGCGGUGAAAUGCGCAGAUAUCAGGAGGAACACCGGUGGCGAAGGCGGUUCUCUGGGCAUUACCUGACGCUGAGGAACGAAAGUGUGGGGAGCGAACAGG
rnacentral:rRNA from 1 species